AAAUUAUUAAAAUAUACAUUGCUCAAUGUUACUCCAGCAAUAAUAUGUAAAUCAUACAUUUUUUUUACCAAUACGACGUCGAAGUAAUCAUUCCUGUAUACUCAAACGCAAACGGUGAAAAUCACAGAACUUCCACCAUCGCUCGUAAAUCAUUUUCCAUUUGAAAUCUACAUUACGACCGAUAACGUAGAACGAAACGACACAUUUAUUUAGCACUGUCAAUACAAUUUUAAUCAAUAUCGUAACGCAGACCCAGCUCCAAUGCAAACUGGCGACGACCAUUAAACAAUUCUUAUCAAAGGGACAGGAAAUGAGAGGGGGCAUCUGGCAGAAACAUCACAAUCCAAUAUGGAUUUCUAACCACACGUCAAUAUUAAGGUAGAAACGACUUUCCGUAGCUUUUGAUUACGCUCUCUCUGAAACAAACUAUCCACUGUCAUCCCUUGUUUCCCGUUCCCAUCGAAGUGGCAAAUUUAGGAAUACUAAUUUGCAACCCAAGCACGCUACGAGCUGAAUAGAAAUAUUCAUGGCGAAACGCUAUACAGGACGAUCCUUGUAACUGGGCCAGAUUAUAGUGCUGUUAUAAAUGAAAGUAAAAAAAAACAAAAUAAUAAAGGAAAAUUAAAUAUGUAUAAAAACAAAAUUUUCUCUACCGUCCGAGUUUAAUAUAACGUCGUUCUAACCCUUACGCGUUAGGUAGGAGGUUUUUUUCUGAAGUUUUAAUAAUGCUGUUCCAGAUCCAGACUAUCCACCAUCCCUUUCCGCCUUCAGGCUUGGAUCAGCCUCCGUCAUUGAUGGACCGAACUGUAAACAAGGGGAAAGGAUACUGGGAAUAGAGUACGCGAGAACGAUGUCCCAAGGGGGGGUUCUGAGCGGAUACGAAGCACAGAAUAUUUUGUUAUUAGAGUUUCGUUGACGAAGUGGAGUAUUGCUGACAUCAAGAGCUACUAUAUAAAGUCGAGAGUCAUGGACGAACCGAUUCACAACACGGAGAGCUCCUAGGAAAGGAGAGCCGAGGCAGCCGUACGUUUCAAGCACCGAAGCUUAAGUAGCAAGUUGAACAGGGAAGACGACGCAACCCCGAGAGGCGAACGCUUCGUUAAAAUGCAGCGCGGACGGAGUGGCUGAAAUCGAAAAGCUGGCCCCAGGUGUUACAUCGCGAAUCUUCGACCCUCGUAAACACCGAGCACAAGGCCGUCUAGAGGGUGGGUAUCGAGGGUGAGAGGAAGGGAAGGGCCGCGAGUGGAAGCAGUCGAGCCUCCGCAAGGAAGGAAGAAGGAUGGGGUAGCAGGAGAGACACCAAGCCAGCAGAGGAACCCAAGGGUUACACCCUACUUUCCUCGGUGUUGCAGUAUCAAUACGUAAAGUUGGCUGGGGGUAGUUCCGUUAUGGCGGCACACAUUACUAUUUCCAUCUUAUCUACGAGGCGCACUUUUUAACUAUCCGCCUUUAAAGAUAUCCUCAAGCAGCCUAUUGUGCUGAAAAAUACUUUUCAGAACUUACUUCAUAACGGAGAAGUAACCACCACUUUUACCGAGGAGUCGCUAUUCGUGAUUUCGAUCGUUAGUAUUGUCUGACGAAACUGUGGAGAGGUUUAAGAUUUUGCGAUACUUUUCACUUCUACGAUUCAUCUUAAUUAUUAUCGAAGGAGCUCUUCUUUGUGAGAUUAGAAUUUAUGGGUGGAUUUGUGUUUGAAAUGUAUUGUUUGUUAUUUAGUAGAGCAAGUUUAUUUUAUUGCAUUUAACAACACACUGUUGCAAGACAAAUUUUCCACUAGCUUGGCACGUUAACAAAAUAGAAAAAAAAACAAGUAAAAGGCGCAACAUUAAAGUCGAGCUAUUAAUGUAUAUUCUGAUAGACCACCUUGCAUAAAGUAUAGAAUUCACAGCCUCUAAAAAUCUAGAAUCCAAAUGUACAGUA